UUUCCUGUGGCUCUGGAUGCCUGUGAAAUAGCAUCACAAGAUAAACACCUCCAGAAGCUGGAGAAAGUGAGCUGAGAGGGAGGGGAGCCCUCUGAAAGAAGUGAUAUGCCCCAGGGUGAGGGGGCAGCGUGCAGAUGGCUUCAGAGGACAGCGACCAGACCAAGAUCUUCGAAAGACGGGCAAAUGAGGAAAACCUAGACUGCACAGACAGGUAUCAGAUCUGCACAAGAGACUGAAGACUUUCCUGCCUCCUCUCCAUUUUUUACUCUCCUCAAGCCUUCACCCAGGUAAAUCAGUCAUGUUUCUAACUCCAAUUCUGGCAUCUGCUUCCCGGUGACACCAAUUAGCACCUGGCCUUACUAAACUCCACUCACUGUCUCCUCUCUGUCAGGCCCAUGACUGAUGCACUUUGAUAUUCAUUUAAUAAAAUUUCACAAGAGUUAACAUAUUGACUUGGGGAGGAAAAAGUCCCUGGAUCCCUCCAGAGCUGCCCUGCCCAUGAUCGUACCCAACAAAGAAAUGGAACUCAGAGACCACAGUUCCUGUAGCAUCAUCCAAUACUCAUGCCCUGGCGCACCCGGGCCUGUGGAAGGGAUUCUAGGAAAACAGGUAAAGGUUGGCGAGAGUUGAGAAGCUGCUGGACUGUGGGGAACAAGAAGUGACAGUAACAGGAAGCCCAAGGCUCUGGAUUUUUUCAAUAGGACCUUAGGAAAACACAUUUAAUCCUAAUCAAUAGGAAGAAAACGUCCAAAGUCAUUGAAGACAAAAACAGUACCAGAAAAGUUCAAAGUCUAUUCAUUAACUCUAGAGUUCAGAUUUGUUAGCUGCAAGCCGGGCUAUUCAGCCUCCCCAACCUGAUCUGUGCAAUGAAGACGAGAAGAUGAAGUGGAAGAUGAUUCUCAGUUGCUUAGGUUGGGACAUGGGAUGUCUAAUGCACUUUUGGGAAAUAUCUAGUCUCUUGGGAACAAAGCUACAGUGAGUCUCUCUUCAAGGAAAACUGACAAGAGGCAUGCUUCUGAGCCUUCAGAGCUGAGGGCAAGGUCUGCAAUAGUGAUGUCAAAAUGCCAACCAGUGAAGAAACCUUUGGUGGACAGGCACACAAUCAGCCCUCUCUUAUGACAUCCUACUAUCUCCAUACAGUAGAUGUCACCAUGAGAUGAGCUGUGUUAACAGCAGAGUGAAUAGCCACUAACAAAAGGUGCAGAAAGAAACUGUGUGUGUAUCCAUGUACACAUGCGUUCAGAGAAAGGCACUUUCUUAACAACACUAGAAAGCUCAAAGAAAGUAGUUAAUUCAAUCACAUGUGCCAUAGGGUCUUUCAUUUUCAUUACUGAGGCUUCCUCAAAGUGAGUGUUGCAUAGAUGAACAGGAUGGAUAGAGUAUGGAUUGAUGGGUGAACGGAUGGAUGACUGAAGCUAAAACAAAGCUAUUUAAUUUAGACUUUGAACUUAAUAGCUCACAGUAUCAGAAGUUACUGAGCUAGAAAAGUUGAUCUGCUACUUUCUUACUGUAUUGGAAACACAAUUUUUCCAAGUUCCUCAUUUUGCUUAAAAUACGCCUUAGGGAAUAGUUAAAUUCAGAAUAGGGUCAAUAAUAAACUUUUAUGGAUUUUUGCCAAACUAAACGAAUAAGAAAUGAUCUGUUUGGAACGCUUACACUAGAAGUCAUGGGGUAAGCCCAGGAAGAAUCCAAACAAUUUAGAGAUUCACACUGACAGGGUGAGGAGUCUCUUAAUCCUUGAGUUUUAUAUUGAUAUCUGUAGGGAAAUGUGGCCUAUGAAUAAUAUUUAGACCACAGUUUUCAUCUUUACAGAGUUAAAAAUCUGGGUAGUUUUUAUGACUUGAAAUCUGGGCAGUUUUCAUGACUCAUACUUUUUUUUUUUUUUUUUUUUGUAAAUGGACACAACACAAUGCCUUUAUUUUUAUGUGGUGCUGAGAAUCGAACCCGGGUCCCAUGCCCGUGCUAGGCGAGCGCUCUACCGCUGAGCCACAAUCCCAGCCCAUGACUCAUACUUUUGUUAGGUCAUUAUUUUAAAGCCAUUUGUAAAAGUCUUUGAGGUUGGUGAUUUGUGCACAAUACUAGUGAAUUUUGUUAGAAAGCACAUCAAUUUAAACCCAGCUGCUAAACAAAAUGACAGCCUCACUUUUUUCAAUGCCUCCUCACAAGAUAUAUGUGUGUGUAUGUGUGUGUGUGUAUAGUGUAUAUAUAUGUGUGUAUGUGUGUGUGUGUGU